CGAAUUUGUCCGCGCACAGGGGAACCCCGCCGGCCAGAUUGCUGAUGGUGCGCCGGCAAACCUUCGGAUUGAUUUCUCCAUUGCUGACCUUCUAUUAUGGUUCGGGGCCCGACCAAGGGCAGCAGAUCUUUAGAAAAUCUCCACCCAAAACACGGACGAACAACCACACCCAGGACCAGAUCCGAACCUGUUGACCGGCUGCAUCGAGAACACCAUGUUCGCCGGAGCGGAGUGCUCCUAACCCUAAAAAUAUAGUGGUUCGCCGGCUCGCCGCUCUCAACAAAACAAGAUCUACAGCCGGGAGGUAGACUCACUGCCGUCUCACCGCCGCCGUUACCGGAAAGCAGCAGAACUGAUCCACGGACCAAGACGACACUGACGACU
rnacentral:lncRNA from 1 species